rnacentral:rRNA from 1 species
CAGUAGCCGCGGGAAAACGUAGGUGGCAAGCGUUAUCCGGAAUUAUUGGGCGUAAAGCGCGCGUAGGCGGUUUUUUAAGUCUGAUGUGAAAGCCCACGGCUCAACCGUGGAGGGUCAUUGGAAACUGGAAAACUUGAGUGCAGAAGAGGAAAGUGGAAUUCCAUGUGUAGCGGUGAAAUGCGCAGAGAUAUGGAGGAACACCAGUGGCGAAGGCGACUUUCUGGUCUGUAACUGACGCUGAUGUGCGAAAGCGUGGGGAUCAAACAGGAUUAGAUACCCCUGUAGUCCCUGUCUCUUAUAA